CGGGAGGGCGGGACAGGAACCUGUCUGGACUGGACCGUGGGGAAGGCGUGGCGGGGCCAGGAGCCUGAGAGACGCCUGGGUAAGAGGAGGGCGUGAAUGAAAACGAUAGUGGGCGGGGCCAGACACAAGGGCGGUGGGCAGGGCCAGGAGCCGGAGGGCGGGGCCAGGGUCCGAGGAGGGCGUGGCUGGACUCCGGGCGCGAGUGGAAUCGGGGCGGGGCCGGGCAUCUCCGCGCGCCCUGGAUCGUGGCUCCGGGGCUCCGGCCCCAAUUUCUCGCAAGCUGAGCGCACCCCGGGAGAGGAGUCGCCUCGACCGGGCGCACCUCCUGUGGUCAGUCUCGGGCGCUGGUUCCCCACGCCGGCCCUGUCAGGGCGCAGUCGGUCAGCUUUUCAUUAGCAGAAAACCCCGGUCGGCACGCCGGCGCCGCGCAGACGUCUCGGUUCAGGGUGAGGCCGUCGCCAGCUCCGGGGCGUGGGCAAGACCGCUUGGGGGCAACAGGAGCCUGUUUCUUGUUGAAUGCCGCCGCAGCGUCAGGGAGCGCUGGAACACGUGGUAAGCCCCCCAUAAGGAAGGCGGCGUCCCCCUUGCUCUCUCGGACCGAGCCGCCAGCUCAGGCCAGGGCGUCCUCUUGCUGAGCGGGGUCUCCCUGGCUUCACGCGAAACCCCGUCACUUGUGCUGUUGCGGGAGCGCUGAGAUCCACUCUCUGCUAUCCUCUGGGUCGCCCGCACCCCCGCCACGGGUAGCUCCCAGUAUCAGCCUUUCUUGGGAUACUCAGGGAGCUUGAGGCACCGUCUGGCUGAACCUGCAUGCCUCCCCAUUCCAGGCAGUGGUGGACUCUGCUUGACCUUGGGCUGACUCCAGGCUCCCAUCAGUGAUUAGGGCACUCAAACUCGCCUCACACCGACCAGUGCCCGAUCCAAAUCCAGAUCCCUCUGGACUCAGCCCCCUGCAGGGAGUCCCAGUAAGAGAAUGUUCUAGUUCCUCUCCAAGCCCCAAGAAAGCAGUGUACUCCUGCCUUGAGCCUCCAGCAGCUCUCAUGCCAGACAAGGAAGCACUGCCCCAGUGCCCUGAUGCCUUCACAGAACCUUAGAUCCAACCAGGCACAUUGGCGUCUCUGGCCUACAUGACAGAGCAAGUUUCAUAAUUCAGGGUCCUGAACUGAUGGGGCUUGGCAACCCUGUACCCCAACCUGGCCUGCUCCUGUAAGCAGGGCACACCCAGGAUAACACAAGGAGUGCGAGGGGGAGCUGACACAUGGGUCUAUAGAGAGCCUGACUUAGGAUGUCCACAGGGUGGGCACCAGCCCAGUGUUCAGGUGAUAGGGCACUGAGGCCCUGAAGGUUCUAUUUGGAGGUGGGGAAGGGGGCUGCCUCUUACCUCUGUAUCCACUGCAGGACGCUCCAGGGCCUCCACACUGCUUUUUGCUGAGCCGUGGUUCUACUGAGCUAUCAGAGACCCUUGCAGGGUUACAUUGUUCUCUGGGCCAGCCCGGAUCACUUUCCCUUGGAUCCAUCUGGGCUUGGGGUUUUAGGGCCCCUGGUUCUCCCUGAGUUCUUUUUGUUUCCUGAGUGACACAGAGUGCCUUGACUUAGGAUUUGGCCAGCUGUUUUCCCUGUAGGUCUGAAUCCAAGUCGGGACCUUGGAUGUUCCUAGGCACCCAUAAAGCUGCUUAAGUUGUUCCUCAAAUAUACUGGGAGAUAACUCUGUUCCUAAACAGGUAGGAACUAGCCCCAGACUUGAACUAAAUCCCUGAAGCCCUCUUCUAAACUCCGUAGCCAGACCCCCCUCCUUGCAGACAAACUUUGGUAGAACCUAUCUGGUCUCUAGGAAGCUGGGCCCUGUAAGUUCCCCUAGUAAGUGCUGAAGAAUUAGUACUUCUUAACUUGAAAUCUCAACUUGGGAUGGUUUAGGGCACUCCCUUGUGGGAAUCCCCCUAUAUUGCCCUUGAGGUGUCUCCAGCCUUUGUUUCAGCAGGGUUCCAAGCUGUAAAUGUUUCCGGAAACAUCCCGACUAAAAAGCUAUUUUCAAAGAGAUGCUGUAUCUCCAGGAGCACAUUGGUAUCCUGACAGACAAGCCAGAGCUAUGCAACUUUAAACAGGCAAGGACAGAUGGGGCACUCUAACAAGGCUAGUACUCUCCUGGACACACUCAAGUCUCACAGUGAUUAAAAUGUACUAGGGCUUUUUUUAAAUCAGGUGUGAUAAGACACACACACAGAAAUGGAUGUAAUGAAAGAAUUUGGUUUAUGGACACAAGUCCCUAGAAACAAGAAGCAGGGCAUGCCACACAGGGCCAACUGGGAAGGAUCAGGAGUGGUCAGGGCAGAAAGGAGAUGGCAGAAUAUGGCCCAGGGCAGAAAUUUACCCCUGGUUUCUGGUUGAAGGACAGAUGGUACCCAGAUAUCUUGUUAGAAAAAACAUUUUCUAUGCACAGGCACCCAUAGAGUUCUGUCCAUGUGUUCUACCUUGCAUGGUGGGAGCAAAACCAUUGUAACAGACUCAACUGCUGAAAAUCCAGCAGCUCGGAGGCUGAAGCAGGUGGAUUGCAAGUUCAAACCAGCCUCAGCAAGAACAAGGCACUAAGCAACUCAGUGAAACCCUGUCUCUAAAUAAAAUACAAAAUAGGGCUGGGGAUGUGGCUCAGUGGUUGAGUGCCCCUGAGUUAAAUCCCUGCUAUAAAAAAAAAAAAAAGCAAAUAGUGAC
rnacentral:lncRNA from 1 species